rnacentral:miRNA from 1 species
UAGAGGCAGACUGAGAAGGCC